rnacentral:rRNA from 1 species
CCCUUAGAUGUUCUGGGCUGCACGCGCGCCACACUGAUGCGAUCAACAAGUUUUUCCUAUGUCGAUAGACACGGGUAAUCUUUUGAACUCGCAUCGUGAUGGGGAUAGAUUAUUGUAAUUAUUAAUCUUCAACGAGGAAUUCCUAGUAGGUGCAAAUCAUCAGUUUGCAUCGAUUACGUCCCUGCCCUUUGUACACACCGCCCGUCGCUGCUACCGAUUGGUUGAUCUGGUGAAUUAUUCGGACUGCCGGCUGAAGGGGUUUCCUCAUCUGCCAGCGGAAAGUCUUGUUAACCCUAUCAACUAGAGGAAGCAGAAGUCGUAACA